ensembl:snRNA U2 U2 spliceosomal RNA
AUAGCUUCUUGGCCUUUUGGCUAAGAUCAAGUGUAGUAUCUAUUCUUAUCAGUUUAAUAUCUGAUACAUCCUCUAACUGAGGACAAUAUAUUAAAUUGAUUUUUAGAGCCGGGAGAUGAAAUGGGAGCUUGCUCUGUCCACUCCACACUUCGAACUGGUAUUGCGGUACUUCUAGGAAUGGUGUAUCCCUC